rnacentral:rRNA from 1 species
GAUGAACGCUGGCGGCGUGCCUAAUACAUGCAAGUCGAGCGAACGGACGAGAAGCUUGCUUCUCUGAUGUUAGCGGCGGACGGGUGAGUAACACGUGGAUAACCUACCUAUAUGACUGGGAUAACUUCGGGAAACCGGAGCUACUACUGGAGAAUAUUUUGAACCGCAUGGUUCAAAAGUGAAUGACGGUCUUGCUGUCACUUAUAGAUGGAUCCGCGCUGCAUUAGCUAGUUGGUAAGGUAACGGCUUACCAAGGCAACGAUGCAUAGCCGACCUGAGAGGGUGAUCGGCCACACUGGAACUGAGACACGGUCCAGACUCCUACGGGAGGCAGCAGUAGGGAAUCUUCCGCAAUGGGCGAAAGCCUGACGGAGCAACGCCGCGUGAGUGAUGAAGGUCUUCGGAUCGUAAAACUCUGUUAUUAGGGAAGAACAGAUGUGUAAGUAACUGUGCACAUCUUGACGGUACCUAAACAGAAAGCCCCGGCUAACUACGUG